UGUAAUUUCAUUUUCUUUUUAAAUAUAAAAUCUUGCCUUUGUUACAGCCAAAUUAUAAUUCUUGAGUGCUAACAUGUUGUAUAAAAACAAAGGAAUAUGCUCUUUUGGAGGAAAUUUUUCCUUUCUUAGAAUGUGGUUGUAGUCAUCCUAUUUCAGUGCUUUACACUGUACUUUUUGGUGUUUUUUGGAAAAGUUACCUUUAGAUCUGAAGCUGUUCAUUUUUAACAAAUAAAAUAUUACAGG
rnacentral:lncRNA from 1 species